AGAAUCUUCGGCAAUGGGCGCAAGCCUGACCGAGCGACGCCGCGUGGAGGACGAAGGCCUUCGGGUUGUAAACUCCUGUCGAGGGGGAGGAAGGGGAGACCUUGACCGAUCCCUGGAGGAAGCACGGGCUAAGUUCGUGCCAGCAGCCGCGGUAAGACGAACCGUGCGAACGUUAUUCGGAAUCACUGGGCUUAAAGCGCGUGUAGGCGGGUCGGUGCGUCGGAACCUGAAAGCCCCCGGCUCAACCGGGGAACGAGGGCCGAAACGACCGGCCUCGAGGGACGUAGGGGGAUCUGGAACUUCCGGUGGAGCGGUGAAAUGCGUUGAGAUCGGAAGGAACGCCCGUGGCGAAAGCGAGAUCCUGGACGUCUUCUGACGCUGAGACGCGAAAGCUAGGGGAGCGAA
rnacentral:rRNA from 1 species